GGCUCAUUUUGUGGGGUUACGUCGGUUGGUGUAAAACCUAAUACCUGUCAAAAAUAUAGAGCAUUGUGUGAAAAUGUAUAACCUCACUUUUCUGACAGUUCGGUGUGCUUGUUUACCUAAGAUUUGUUUACACGGACUUUUAAAAUUUACAUUACUUGAAUACUUUCGAUGCUCUUUGAAAGAAUAUCAACUCAAGAGUGAUGAGGAUUGGAACAAUGGUAGCCUGGUUCAUACAUUGACCAAUCGGCGCUGGAUGUAAAACCCGGUGGCAUAUGCUGAAUCGAAAGAUCAAGCAUUGGGUUAUAAAACGAUUGCUUUCUGGAUGAUGGAUAAGGAUUUGUACACAUUUGUGGUGAAGUUUACCUGAACUUUAUAGGUAACGAAUUCGGUGGAUGAUAAGUUGUUGAAAUGAUUUUGAUCGUUCAAUGCCCAUAUUGAAGAACGUUUCCAUUGGUCAGAAUGCCUACCAGCGUAUGAUAGCUGCAAACAUGAGGACAACAAGGUUAUCGCUUUCGAAUGGAACAAUAAUUUAUUAUUCGUGUUCAAGUUCCAUUACAGUAAAAGUUUCGUUGACUAUCGCAUUGUCGUUGAUUUAGCCGGAAAAUGCAAAAUAGCGCUCGGCACUGACGACAAGGAGUAAGAAGGAUUUGAUUGGAGUGAUAAUAAUGCAGAGCAUUGUAUAUUCUGGUAGAAUAUCAGGGUGGAGAAAUUAUAUGUAAAUUUAUAUUAUAUCCCGAGUUGCAUUAAUUUUGGCACCGCAAUAAAGCUAUCUGCAACUGUUGUCUUGUUCAAAUUGGCACGAAAUAACUAGGCAGCGAAUGAUAGAUUUCAUAGUCAAUUUAAUUACUUUUUCUGAAGGAUAAGUAAUUAGUAUGUUGUGAAUAUAUGUGUCGCCGGUGCCGUGUGUUAUGGUGGUACCGGACGGAACCGUUGGUCAGCAGACCGUCCUUGUCGUACUGGUCAUAGAUGCGACGUUUUAGCACUUGACAUGCUUCGGAGAUCUGUCUUAACGCUCUCUACUUAGCGCAGGAUACGCGAAACCGCUGCUAGCUUUCGAAAGAAAAUUCCUAGCUGCUGCUACUCUAUCAGUCUCUCUCUCUCUCGACUGAGGACUACAAUUUCGGUCGAUUAAAUUAUGCUAUGAAAAUUGUACUUCCUGGAAUUUCAUCUAACGGGAUCAAAUCAUUGUGAGGAAUUUCGCUGCGUUCCAAUAUUGCUUGCCUCUGUAGGUGACGAUGUGUGUGGAUUCACUUCGGCAGCUAGCUCUUAUGUUUUGUGUAAUUUUGCUAUCUUAUUCUGCUGAAUAAAUCAUCUGCCUAAA